CUUGCUGAUCAGAGCCACACACUGUACUGCCUAAAUUAAUAGCUGUGUUUUUUUCACAGAAUGGUUGAAGUUGGAAGGGACUUUGCGAGGCCAUCUUGUAUGCCCCACUCAGGCAGGCUGACCUAGAACCAUUUUUCUGGGAGCAAUAUUGUUACUGCAUCAUGUGCAAGAUGCACACUAAAAAUAAGACGCACUGGCUCGGAAACCUUUCCUGUCAGAAUCAACCAUAGCACUGAUUCCUCAGACAGGCCACUGAAAGCUUACAAUAUGCUUUUUAAUGAAGAGCUGUAUGUUGGCAUUACUGGAGGAAGAUAAAUCUUUAUAUCUCGCAGUUACAGCACUCUUAUCAGUAACUUUAUAACCCACCUCUUAAAGAACUGUGUAAUUUAAGUUGAUAUGGAUAUCUGAAAGCUCUCUUUAUUGACCAUAGCUCCUCCUGUAGUUUCAGUUUCAUGACUAAAGAGUACAAUUGCUAACGACACUUUUGUUUUUACUGCCCUGCUUUAUCAGGCAAACUGCAAUUUUACACCUUGUUAAGGAAGCAAAGUGAGAAGAAAACCACAUAAUCCUGUUAACAAGGUAGAUAAGACUAUUAUUUACCAUGACUUUUUUGAGGAAUAUUAUUCUUUGUCUAACAGGACCAGAGAUAAAGCAUAUCCUAAAAUGAUAAUGCACACAUUGAAAAGAGCUUUUUCACACUUGCUAUCAGUGUGAAGCCAUGACCUCAGAGCAAUAAUCCCAUACCUGAGCCAGUUCAUGAGGGACUGUUCUGGAGGAAAGGCCAGCCCCUAACUCAGUCAGCUAAAGUAAACACGCUUUAUCAGUGCUCUGCACUGAAUCACAGUUUCUGGUUCGAACCAAAGCUCCUGCCUUUCAGUCAGUAAUUGGAAUAGGGUCUGGUUUCCCACCGAGGAACUUAUUUCCACCGGCUCUUGCAGUGACCUGCAGAACAAGGCCAUCUGAGAAGGGAAGUGUGCGCUGUGCGUAAUGGCCAUCGGUGGAACCGCGUACC
rnacentral:lncRNA from 1 species